rnacentral:lncRNA from 1 species
UUACUGCUUACUCGAAGGUCGCGGGGUGGAGUUCCGGCCGGGGCGGCUGCAUUUCUAUGAAGGGAAAAUGCUAAAGGUCUGUGUGCUUAGAUUUAGAUGCACGUUAAAGAACCCCAGGUGGUCGAAAUUUCCGGAGCCCUCCGCUACGGCGUCUCUCAUAAUCAUAUCGUG